UACGUAGGGACCAAGCGUUGUUCGGAUUUACUAGGCGUAAAGGGCGCGUAGGCGGCCUAGCAAGUCACUUGUGAAAUCUCCGGGCUUAACUCGGAACUGCCAAGUGAAACUGCUGGGCUAGAGUUUGGCAGAGGGGGGUAGAAUUCCACGUGUAGCAGUGAAAUGCGUAGAGAUGUGGAGGAACACCAGUGGCGAAGGCGGCUCUCUGGGACGGUACUGACGCUGAGACGCGAAAGCGUGGGGAGCGAACGGG
rnacentral:rRNA from 1 species